UUUGGGGGGUAUGAAAUGUAGCACAUGUGUAUAUUAUGCACCAUGGACUUUUAGCUAGUCUUAGCAUUUGAUAGCGCGGCUAUCAAGAUGGCGUCAGGUAGCUAACCUAGGGCAAGGCCCGCGAUACCGGGCGGGGGCAACUGCGCACGGUUUUACCGGCUGUAAUACCAGGUCUGCUGUGUAAAUAUAGACAGGCAUGUGUGGUGCACUCAGACUUCUCAAUCUCAGCUAAAAGCUCAUAAAAAGAUUUCUACAACCACCAAACACAAGUCAGAGUUUUAAUUGGACAACGCGAGGUCAGCAGCGGAUAGUGAGGACAGCAGAGAGGAUCAUUGGAGGCCCUCUCCCGCCCAUCUCCCAACUCUACGACAAACACAUCAUCCGACGUGUGAAGGACACUUUCCACCCCUCACAUGCACUGUUCAUCUGGCAGAUGGUUUCGCAGCAUCAAAACCGUAACGGCCAGACACUGCAAGAGCUUCCUCCCACAAGCAGCCAGAGCACUCAACUCACUACCACCAAAUGACUAUAUAUGAGACAAGAGGUGGUGGCUGACGCUGUGUGGAUUUGUUUGUGAAAUGAAAACUAUUAAAUAUUGCCUUUUGAGGAAUAUGCAACAUUCAAAGAGAGGAUGAAUGCUACUUGGUGCAAUGUUUGUACUGUAAAGAUUAAGUAACAGAUGAAUAAAGACAUUUGUUUUGGUUUAUUUUAUAAGAGAUAAAACAAAUGUGUAACAGCUGAAGGUUGGAGCAGCUCUUAACCAUAACACUGAACUUUAUUUUCCUGAUCCCUCCAAACUUUAUUCAUUGUCCAGGUGGUACAUUCGUCCAUACAGGCAGGCAGUGACCAGGCCACCCUUCGUGUUUGAAUGUUUCAUGGUCAGUCUCCCGUCUGCAGCUUUCUCCAGACUCUCUGGCUGCUCCAGGAACAUUCGGCUUGUCAGAAUGGAUGGGUACACGUAUUUGGUGUCAAA